AAAUGCAAUAAGUGAUCCAUAAUUCUUUUCACCAAACACCAAUACAUAAUUCUCACUUAUAAUUUUCAGAAAACUCAUUAGUUUCACACUACAAUUCUUUUUGAAAGAAUUAUGAGGCCAACUAUUAUAGUUUCAUGUCUAUUGAUAUUUUUGUUCAUCCAUGAAUUUUCUAGUAGCCUUUGUGGUGAAGCAAGGUCCCUUCAAUAUUCUUCCUAUAAUGAAUUGUUUAAAUCUCAUCAACACAUGGUGGCUAGAGAGCUAAGAGGUUUAAAGAGAAGAAUCAUACCAAAACCAUCACCACCAAAACCUAAUGUGGAAAUUCAUUGGAGUCCCCCUCCUCCUCUUGAUCAACCUCCACCACCAGGGUCGGAGAUACAGUAUUAGUAACUAAGACGAGAUAACAAGUUUAAUAAACUUCGAAUUCUGUUCCAUCUCUAUCCGCAAGCUUCAACAAGAUGCUACCCAUAGUCCACCAUGCUCAUCGCCACUAUGCUGUUAAUAGUCCCAUGGUUCAGAGAGGUGAAAUCAGGAUUUGAAGCUUGUAGGUUCAAUUAUUGUGUUUUUUUAGUAGCUAUUAAUUGGUUUUGUUUUGUUUCUUUUUGUAUGAGUGCUUGUAUUUUGAUUUUUGGAGGAAGGGUUUGUAAUAAAACUUUCAAUUUUUAGGUAUCGAUAAAUUCUAAUUUU